ensembl:lncRNA
CUCGACACGACUAUAAGUGAUGUUAACAGUUCCUCAGGACUUCUCUUCAUAUUUGUUUGAGAAGAGGUUAGCUGAGCUCAGAACACAAGGAAUCUGUCAGAUCAAAGCUAGAUUUCAUGUUUCUGUUGCUAGUGAGACUAAAGUAAGCAAUGUCCUCCUAAUAAUCAAGGAACAGUAAAUGCUGUUGUAUACAGUUUCUUUGUCAGGAGUUAGAUGUAGUCCUCAGAAAUUUGCCAGUUCAAUCCCUCACAUGGAGUUUUCCUAUGAAAAAGUUAGAACCGAUGUUUUAGGACUGCUCAGACUUACUGUGUAUUUUUCUUCCUGUAAGACUUGAAUUGAAUGUGAAACUGCAGAGAGUUUUGAGGAGGACUUGGAGAAGAAUGGAAAGAAGGCUACAGUAGAAAGACAACUUCAGAAAGCAGGCCAAUACUUACUGUACCUGAAAACAAAUCAGACUAACAUGGGAAUCCGUAUUCACAUUACUAAUUCUGCAUUGUUUCCCUCCAGAAGCUGUUUCUACAUAAACUUUACCAUACUUGAUGUUGGAAUAAUAAUAGCAUGCAUUAGUUUUAUCAUCAUUAUUAACAUCUAAGUUACAUAAUCUUGAAAAAGCAUGCUCAUUUUAGAUAUCAUUAUCUACUAUAAAAGUUCUUCUCCCAAAACUUGAUUCUCAAAACUACAGUGAAAAACCUUACAUUUCUUAACUGGCAGAAACCAUAGUUGCACUUAAAAUUAUUCUGAUAAUGCUAGAUUUUCUGUUUGGUUCUGAGGAGAAAAGAAAUACAAUAUCAGUUUUUCACAGAGGCUUAUUUAAAUGGAAAGGAAAAAAAAAGAUGACUUAAUACAAUCAUAAGGAACACAAAAAGUUAUUCAUCCUGAGCAACAAGCCUGACAUCAAUUAAAAUUGAGAUAAACAAUUAGUAAAUAUAUAUAUAUAUAAACAUAUUGUCAUCUGAGAUGUUAAGAACAUGCUAUGCCUUUAAUAUAGGCCUUCCCCACCCCUUAAAGUACAGCUUCAUAUCUCUGUCCUUCCAAUCUAUCUCAGUGGUACAAUAGCUUCCUUAUCUGAAAGCAGAAAAGGGAAAUGGAUGAAACCACAUCCAUACAAAGCAAACAGGGAGCUGACAUUUAUCUUAGUUCUUAUAAGAAGAAAAAUCCUUACUUUUUUCAGUCUACAAAGUAGGAUCUAUUUGUGGCAAAGAAGACCUUGUGUCCUAUUAUGUCUUUGAACUAACAAUAACCUGGGUCACUAUCUCAGCACCAAGCACAGAGAAACUUAUUCAGUCACAUAGAUUACUAGCAACAUCUGCUUUACUAAAAGCACCUGAGAUGCUUCACUCACUUCAGUAGCAUCAGUCAGUUAUGCCUUUGAGUCAUGAACACAAACAAGCAGCAAAAGCAAUACCAUGACCUAAAAAAAGGUCUGUAAAACUGCAUAUACCAAGUACUUGCUUACCUCAAAGCAGGCUAUAAACAACAUCUACUGCUUUUACAUAAACUUCAACUCUCCUUACUAUAGCACAGCUACCACUAGGAAAGAACAGCAUAGCAUAGCUUGUUCGAGUUCUACUCACACUCUUGAGCAUUAACAGAAGAUAAGCAGACAGCAUAGAUGAUGAAACAUUCAACAAAGGUAGAAGUUAUGCUGAAGAUAUCACACUCCUACAACUUUUAAAAUGAAAGCACUUUAAAGUAUUAGCAUGACCAUAAAUGAACGUUAUGUUAAUGAAGCAACUUUCCUCAAUUGUAUUUAAAACAGGUGCCAUAUACUCUACACACCAAUGUUUAUACAAGUCAAUUAAUACCUAGAAAUUAAAAAAGUAAAACACUACCUUACUGCAUCCUUAUAGCAUCCUUCUCCCUUAAAAACAAUAACAAAAAAUAAGAAGUAACCAAUGAGGCUUACCACCUUAUAUAGGCACCUUAGCCUACCUGAUGAGAAGAAAAGGGACAGGUGAGAGAAAUCAAUUCAGCUGUGCCUCGUUGGCAUUCCUCAUUGAGAGCAGGUGGCAAAUUAUUACAAAUGAAAGGCUAUUAUAAAAAGGUACCCUUAGUGGCCUCUAAGGAGCUUAUGGAGUUGAGAAGUUUUGUGGAAGCUCCCCACCACAAUACCAGUAAAUGUUUUUGUGCUGGUAGUACUGGAAGCAGUAACACAAACCAAGAUCAGAUGUUUUCCAGCACUUGACUUUAAAGACUGCUGAUACAUUGCCUGGACAGGCAGAUCACAUCUUGGAAACUGUUCUUCAUGCCUGUUAAGUAACAGAUUUGUAUGUUGAGGAAAUGGAUGAAGAUCCUGCAGAUGCUAAGCAACUUGUACCUCAGGGGAUUAAAAUGACAGCCUGUUCCAUAAAUCCUUGAGGAUUAACAACACAUAUGUUCAAGCAUCAAAUCAUAGCAAAAGAAAAAGAGGAGCUUGUUUUUGUCUUGGAGCAUUAUCACAGCAGAUAGUAGAGACAUGGAACGUAUGUAUAUUAAGUAAAGUUGGGCAAAUGUAUAAGAG